rnacentral:rRNA from 1 species
UACGUAGGGUGCAAGCGUUAAUCGGAAUUACUGGGCGUAAAGCGUGCGCAGGCGGUUUUAUAAGACAGGUGUGAAAUCCCCGGGCUUAACCUGGGAACUGCACUUGUGACUGUAAGACUAGAGUACGGUAGAGGGGGAUGGAAUUCCGCGUGUAGCAGUGAAAUGCGUAGAUAUGCGGAGGAACACCAAUGGCGAAGGCAAUCCCCUGGACCUGUACUGACGCUCAUGCACGAAAGCGUGGGGAGCAAACAGG